CGCCUGUUUAUCAAAAACAUUGCAUGUUGAAAACAAAAUAACAAGUACAUCCUGCCCAGUGACUGACUCAGUUCAACGGCCGCGGUAACCUGACCGUGCAAAGGUAGCAUAAUCACUUGCCUCUUAAUUAGUGGCUAGUAUGAAUGGACAAACUAAGUUUAUCUGUCUCAAUUAAACCAAUAAAAAUUAGAGCUUAGGUGAAAAUACCUAAAUCAAAAUGAAAGACAAGAAGACCCUGUCGAGCUUAAUAAUAAACGAUACAAACCCUUAAAAAAAUAAACCUAACUAUCCAUAUAUUAUUUUGUUGGGGCGACAAGAGCUUAUAUUAACCACCUCAAAUCUUCAGAAAAAAAAUUCACUCAAAUGACCUUAUUAAAAUCACAUAAAAAGCUACCGCAGGGAUAACAGACUAAUUUCUCUCAAAAGUUCAUAUUUACAGAGAAGCUUAGCACCUCGAUGUUGGCUUAGGGGCCUAUAAAAUGCAGAAGUUUUAUCAAGCGGGUUUGUUCAACCCAUAAACCCCUACGUGAUCUGAGUUCAGACCGG
rnacentral:rRNA from 1 species